rnacentral:lncRNA from 1 species
GGGCGUGGAGAGACACAUGCUAGCAGUUCAAAGGAUUUUUCUGCAUGCAGCAUAGUAAAUAAACUGAAGAGGCAAUUUUUAUGAAAAAUAUUUGCCCAGCCAAAGAAGGAAGCCAGUGAAAUUGUAAGGUUGCUGCUGAGUAGUUAAAUCCUCAGGUAGGACUUGUCUCGUGCCUCACAACUACCACCAGGACUACAGAACGAAACAAGUGGCCAAACUGAUCUUGGAGGUGGGAGAGCAAGCCGAUUGUAAUGGAGAGAAAAAUAUCCAUAAGUUCUGCCUAUUGAGGUUCAAAGAAG